CUAAAAUUAAAGGCAUAGCAGCGCAGGCAUGCAGACUUUAAGAGUGCUCGCUCACAACUUGGUGUUUAAGAACUACACAGGCGCCAACCUGAAAUGACACGUGCGCAGUGUCCGAGGUCUUACUCGUUUUCGUACCUGCGGGCAGGCUGAGCCCGCUUCUGCGCUGGAGUUGAUACUACGCAAGCGCCGGGGGUGCAUGACGUCAUCCGAGCGCGCCUCCCACAGUACACAAGCCCUGGGCUCAGACACAGACGUUGCUGUGGAGACGGGGCGUUGAGAUUGGAGGAGAGCCGGUCAGUUGAUGUUGCUGUCUUACAGACACUGAAACCCCAGGUGGAAGAAGUUAACUACAUCAUGACCAGACUGUACCCAUGAUAUAAGCCGCUGGAAUUCCGAGAACUGGAUGCAAGAAAUGGAAACAAACUGACCCUGGAACUGAAUAUUAACUGUACUUAAAACUGUCAAGAUGACGCUGGUCAGACCACUGAUGACCAGUUUCAAGGAGCAGGUGAUGAACUCACUCCGAUUGACAUAUUGAGAGCUGCUCUUCCCAGAUCCAGCUGGCAGCUUCGUAAUUAUGGAAACAUCUAUGUUGUUCCCACUUACCCAGGGCUAGGCCUGCUGGUAUCUGAUUCAGUGUUUACUUCAUGAAUGAGGAUGGUUCCACUUGUGUGGCGUGAGAAUGACUCAGAAUGCCUUGGAAGCCACCUCCAGAGAGCCCCAGGACUGGCGGAGCGGCGGGUGCGGCAGCCACAGGCAGGCGGAUGGCCGUUACACAAGCUUUCCAGAAAGAUCGCGCGAGCUGAUGCCCCAGCCACAGGAGAGGGACGGAGCCUGCAGCCAGCAGCCAGGCUGGAAAGUCUGUGUAAAGGACACCUGGAGGAAACAGGGCCUCCACCCCUCUCCACCCCCCCUGGAACCCUGCCUUUCUCACCCACUCCCCACCCAAGCGGUUCACAGCCCCGGAGGCUCACCACGUCUUCAUCAUUUGAAAGCUCACUGGUUUCUCCCGACACAUCAGAACUUUUUUUUCUUUCCUCCUUUUUGAAAAGCCUUUUUGUGAGGUUGGGAGUGACCCAAAAGUAACCUCUCUAUUCCUGUCUGAAGGGAAAAUAUUUCCAGAUCAGAGGAGCAGUCUGCAGUGCUAAGCCUGGGCAUAUAUGAAUACUCGAUUAUGCCUCUUAAGUCCCGAGUCAGUCACAGUUUCAGAAAUGAACCAUAAGCAGAGCAAAGGCGUUGUGAAUCAAGAGGUUUAUUAUUUUCCCCUAUGAAGUAUUUUGAAACUGAAGUUUCCACAUUUUUAAGGGUUUGAUGUCAUAAAUUCCCAUGUAGGACUGCAUUUUGAAAAACAGGGUCAUUGUAUGUGUGUGUGUCCGAAUGUGAGAGGUUUAGUACCUAACUUAGAACCAGGAAUUUGAGAUGCACAGGCAGGCCAGGCCACUGGGCCUUUGCUGUCAUGAGUUCAUGUGAUGGUAAGACUGUUCCGGAACCGUCUGGAAGUUAAAUGUUAGUCUUCUGAAAAGAAGUAGGACCUCCCAGCCCAGCUGUUGUUAUGGCAAGUGCAAUGUAAGCAGGUUUCUAUUUAAAACGCUCACACCUGGUACUUGACUAUUUCUUGUUUUCCAAAGGGUACCCUCUCUCCCCCGAAUUUUCUUUUCCACCUUCCCUUUUCCGUGCUAGUCUGGCUUAACCCAACCUGCUGGGUUUGACCCAACCCGAAGGCAUGAAGAGGAGGACAUUUUUAAAAGGAGCUGAAGAGCUGUGGUCUUGUGCUGCCAGAACUGGGCUCGGAUGGAGACAAGACAGCCCUGGAGACAGUGAUGAGG
ensembl:lincRNA